UACGAAGGGGGCUAGCGUUGUUCGGAAUGACUGGGCGUAAAGGGCGCGUAGGCGGCUUGCACAGUCAGGCGUGAAAUUCCUGGGCUCAACCUGGGGACUGCGCUUGAGACGUGUGGGCUUGAGUGGGGAAGAGGGUCGUGGAAUUCCCAGUGUAGAGGUGAAAUUCGUAGAUAUUGGGAAGAACACCGGUGGCGAAGGCGGCGACCUGGUCCUUGACUGACACUGAGGAGCGAAAGCCAGGGGAGCAAACGGG
rnacentral:rRNA from 1 species